rnacentral:rRNA from 1 species
UACGUAGGGUGCAGGCGUUAUUCGGAAUUACUGGGCGUAAAGCGUGUGCAGGCGGUUUGCUAAGUCAGGUGUGAAAUCCCCGGGCUUAACCUGGGAACUGCGCUUGUUACUGGCAGGCUUGAGUGUGGCAGAGGGGGGUGGAAUUCCACGUGUAGCGGUGAAAUGCGUAGAGAUGUGGAGGAACACCGAUGGCGAAGGCAGCCCCCUGGGCUAACACUGACGCUCAUGCACGAAAGCGUGGGGAGCAAACAGG